rnacentral:rRNA from 1 species
CAAUGGGGGAAACCCUGACGGAGCGACGCCGCGUGGGGGAUGAAGGUUUUCGGAUCGUAAACCCCUUUCAGGUGGGAAGAACGGUCGCGCGGUGAACAAUCUCGCGGCCUUGACGGUACCACCAGAAGAAGCUCCGGCCAACUCCGUGCCAGCAGCCGCGGUAAUACGGGGGGAGCAAGCGUUGUUCGGAUUCAUUGGGCGUAAAGGGCGCGUAGGCGGCCCGGCAAGUCUGACGUGAAAUGCACCGGUUCAACCGGGGGCGCUGGGUCAGAAACUGCCAGGCUUGAGGUCGAGGGAGGAAGGUGGAAUUCCUGGUGUAGCGGUGAAAUGCGUAGAUAUCAGGAGGAACACCCGUGGCGAAAGCGACCUUCUAUCUCGAUUCUGACGCUGAGGCGCGAAAGCUAGGGGAGCAAACGGGAUUAGAUACCCCGGUAGUCCUAGCCGUAAACGAUGGGCACUAGGUGUGGGAGGUAUCCGACCCCUUCCGUGCCGCAGCUAACGCAUUAAGUCGCCCCGCCUGGGGAGUACGGCCGCAAGGUUG